AGCUAGUGUUUCCAUGACCUCCUGGUGUUUGAAGACUAUUAUCCAUUCUAUGUUCUUUUUGUAUAUAGAGGCCUCUCCGCCAUUGAUAUUUUGUAUGAUUGUCUAUUCUAUUUCUUAUAGCCGAAUUUUUUUCUCAUAUGGUUGCAUAAGGUCUUUGUUGUAUAAUUUAUAUCAUUAUGUGGUGGUAUGAUCUGAGUUUGCGUUUGAGAAGUAGAAUGCUUGGAAUUGAAAACUACCCAUAGACAUUCUUAUAGAUGUACCCGGACUAUUGAAGUUGUCUUUUGUAUUAUUAUAUUUCACAAGGAGUUAUGGAGAGCUUAUCUAUUAGUUUGCAUUCUUUGUCUAAAAUACUUAGUAUUGUUGUUUUGUUAUAAGCUCAUCUCCAACUUCUACUUCUUCUCUCAUAUAUUUGUUAUUAUAAUCGUUCUUGCUCUAUGUUGAUUCCACGCCAUAUUUUCGAUAGGAUUGUUCAUUGUAGCUCUACUCUAAUGUAGGUCCUUUUUUAGGAGUUGUGCCUACUUUUGUUCGUUCUCUAUUCUGACUAGUGUUUCUUUUUAAUAUUAUCUUGGUA
rnacentral:lncRNA from 1 species